rnacentral:rRNA from 1 species
AAGCAUCUAAGCACGAAACUUGCCCCGAGAUGAGUUCUCCCUGACCCUUUAAGGGUCCUGAAGGAACGUUGAAGACGACGACGUUGAUAGGCCGGGUGUGUAAGCGCAGCGAUGCGUUGAGCUAACCGGUACUAAUGAACCGUGAGGCUUAACCUUACAACGCCAAAG